UCGAGCGGAUGACGGGAGCUUGCUCCUUGAUUCAGCGGCGGACGGGUGAGUAAUGCCUAGGAAUCUGCCUGGUAGUGGGGGACAACGUUUCGAAAGGAACGCUAAUACCGCAUACGUCCUACGGGAGAAAGCAGGGGACCUUCGGGCCUUGCGCUAUCAGAUGAGCCUAGGUCGGAUUAGCUAGUUGGUGGGGUAAUGGCUCACCAAGGCGACGAUCCGUAACUGGUCUGAGAGGAUGAUCAGUCACACUGGAACUGAGACACGGUCCAGACUCCUACGGGAGGCAGCAGUGGGGAAUAUUGGACAAUGGGCGAAAGCCUGAUCCAGCCAUGCCGCGUGUGUGAAGAAGGUCUUCGGAUUGUAAAGCACUUUAAGUUGGGAGGAAGGGCAGUAAGUUAAUACCUUGCUGUUUUGACGUUACCGACAGAAUAAGCACCGGCUAACUCUGUGCCAGCAGCCGCGGUAAUACAGAGGGUGCAAGCGUUAAUCGGAAUUACUGGGCGUAAAGCGCGCGUAGGUGGUUUGUUAAGUUGGAUGUGAAAGCCCCGGGCUCAACCUGGGAACUGCAUCCAAAACUGGCAAGCUAGAGUACGGUAGAGGGUGGUGGAAUUUCCUGUGUAGCGGUGAAAUGCGUAGAUAUAGGAAGGAACACCAGUGGCGAAGGCGACCACCUGGACUGAUACUGACACUG
rnacentral:rRNA from 1 species